rnacentral:rRNA from 1 species
GAUGAACGCUGGCGGCGUGCCUAAUACAUGCAAGUCGAGCGAACGGACGAGAAGCUUGCUUCUCUGAUGUUAGCGGCGGACGGGUGAGUAACACGUGGAUAACCUACCUAUAAGACUGGGAUAACUUCGGGAAACCGGAGCUAAUACCGGAUGAUAUUUUGAACCGCAUGGUUCAAAAGUGAAAGACGGUCUUGCUGUCACUUAUAGAUGGAUCCGCGCUGCAUUAGCUAGUUGGUAAGGUAACGGCUUACCAAGGCAACGAUGCAUAGCCGACCUGAGAGGGUGAUCGGCCACACUGGAACAGAGACACGGUCCAGACUCCUACGGGAGGCAGCAGUAGGGAAUCUUCCGCAAUGGGCGAAAGCCUGACGGAGCAACGCCGCGUGAGUGAUGAAGGUCUUCGGAUCGUAAAACUCUGUUAUUAGGGAAGAACAUAUGUGUAAGUAACUGUGCACAUCUUGACGGUACCUAAUCAGAAAGCCACGGCUAACUACGUG